GUGUUUGCCUCAGCAGCACAUAGACUAAAAUCAGAAUGCUACAGAGAAGAUUAGCAUGGUGCCUGCACAAAGAGGGCAUGCAAAUUUGUGAAACAUUUCAUAUUUUU